rnacentral:rRNA from 1 species
UCUUGCACAAUGGGCGCAAGCCUGAUGCAGCAACGCCGCGUGCGCGAAGAAGGCCUUCGGGUCGUAAAGCGCUUUUCGGGGAGACGAGGAAGGACGGUAUCCCCGGAAGAAGUCUCGGCUAACUACGUGCCAGAAGCCGCGGUAAAACGUAGGAGGCAAGCGUUAUCCGAAUUCACUGGGCGUAAAGGGUGUGCAGGCGGUCGGCUAAGUUGGGUGUGAAAUCUCCCGGCUCAACUGGGAGGGGACGCUCAAGACUGGCCGGCUGGAGGGCGGUAGAGGGAGGUGGAAUUCCCGGUGUAGUAGUGAAAUGCGUAGAGAUCGGGAGGAACACCAGUGGCGCAAGCGGCCUCCUGGACCGUACCUGACGCUGAGACACGAAAGCCAGGGGAGCGAACGGG